UGUUUUUUUGAUUUUGUUGUAAAGUUAGUGUAGUAAAGUUUUCUCCAAAUACACAUUCAUCAUACAUACCAUCUAGUAUAAGCAGACGGACUGAGUGAUGUUUAUUUGCACUACUAUUUCAAAAUAAUGCCCAUUAAAUCCCACUCUUAUACCUCAUGACCUGCAUCUUGCCAGCCAAGAGGGAUCUGCACAGGUCUCCUCUGUGUCGCUGAUCUCCUGUCAGCUCCUCUCUCUACCACAGGGCCUAUGGGCUCUGCUGGAUUAAACAGGCGUGCCCAGAAAUCCACAACACCAACAAUUUCACCCUCGGAGCCUUGGAGAAAGACAUGGGUUGAAACUUAAUUUUUAAUUCAAUGGAGAUUACCACACACAUUAUGUAAUACAUAAGAACAUUACUUCACAAUCUAUAUAGAAUAUCUUUAUAUUGGCAAUCGCUGCAUGUUAAUAGAAAAGAAGUAUAUUACUCUAUAUACAGAAUUACUCACCUGUGAUAUUGACAUGGGCCCCAAUUCGCUCUCCUCUCCUUUCCAUGGCACCUAUGAGGGACAUCUGCCCACUGCCGUGUGUCACAAACCUGACUCCUCCUAACGCCUGGUGGAGCUCAACUCUGACCCUUGACCCCUGACCUCCCAGCCUGCCCAGAUCUCGGGCUGUUAGAGCGUAGCGGGACGUGAAGCCAUAGUUGGGUUGGCUGCCUGACACCAGAGGAGUGGAGUGCACCUCAAAGUCCAAGAGGCUGUAGGUGCAGAAGGUCACAAUGUCUUCACCCCUGUCCACACCUGGACGGAUGCUGCCCAUAGUACGAAGCCCUGCUGGGGUGAAAGUGGCGGCCUGGAGGUGGAUCUCCAACAGGGACUCGCCAGCCCUCAGCUGUGAAAAAGACAUGUCGUCCUCAAUGGGCUGUACCAUCUCCUCGUCUCCAGCUGGCCAGGUCUUUACUGAUACGGUGCUCCAGCAGCAGAAGGUUUCUGGUUUUCUGUAAUUCCAGCACAGUCUCGGCAUGCGAUGCCUGGAUGUUUACCAGCUCGCGGGGCGAAUCCUCCACCUUCCCAUCAGCCCACAGGAAAAGCAGCCCAACCCUGCUCUCCUGCUGCAUCCUGAAUGCCUGUAGUUUGAAGGAACGCAUGCAACAAGGAUUAAAAGCAUUUUAUUUUCUCUUUUAAUCAGAGGUUUUAAAAGAGGUUAAAAAAUCGUGCAAACCUUGAUCUGCAAAAGAGUUUCACUGAGCUCCUCAACACUCAUGUCAAACUCCUGGAAGAGAGAAGAGAGAGAUGAUGAAAGCUGUGUCAGGAUAUGUGCUAAAAACAGGAAACCAACUAAGAGACUUAUGCGUGAAACAGCUGUUCAGCAGUGUAUUAUUCAGUUCUUCAACUCUGACCUUAGUGACAGAGUCCAGUCGGUCCUGCAGAGAAGAAACCUGCUCUCUGUACUGGACAACCUCCCGUUCCAGGUGCUCUCGUUUCUCCCUCGUCAUCAUGGAAAACUCUAAUCACAGGAAACAUAAAUAAAUGGCUCUUUAAACUGA